UACAGAGGGGGCAAGCGUUGUUCGGAAUUACUGGGCGUAAAGGGCGCGUAGGCGGCCUGUUAAGUCGAACGUGAAAUCCCCGGGCUCAACCCGGGAACUGCGUCCGAUACUGGCAGGCUUGAAUCCGGGAGAGGGAUGCGGAAUUCCAGGUGUAGCGGUGAAAUGCGUAGAUAUCUGGAGGAACACCGGUGGCGAAGGCGGCCUACUGGGCUGUCUCUGACGCUGAGGCGCGAAAGCUCGGGGAGCGAACGGG
rnacentral:rRNA from 1 species